rnacentral:lncRNA from 1 species
AAAGGAACAGAAAGUGUUUGGAAGGAAACACCCCAAAAGAUUAGGUUGAACCAUAUGAAAUGGUUGCUAUUCAGCCAAUGUGACCUACAAAAAUGACCGCCACAAGCAGCUGACCCUAAUAUCUCUGGGUAAUAGGAUAACAGGGAGCUUUUUUUCCUUAUUCUUUAAUAAUAUUCAACUUCAAUACCAUGGAUAUAUACUCACUUUUAUACUCAGGAAAAUAGACAUUAUUACAAAGUAAAGAAAACUAAAAAAUGUCCACAUGGGCUUUUCACCCUGCCUCUGGCUCAGGCUUCCCAGUGAGCCCAGGGGUGCCCCACGCCCGCCCCACCUUCCUUCCACGUGCGCAGGCACUGAUGGACGAUAAGAUGCCCUCGUGGGCUUAAAACCUACGUGCUGCUUAUCAUAGAAACACAGCUGAAGGAGGGAUUUACUGCCAUCCUUAGAGACAGGCUGGGGACAGGUAUUUUAAGUGGCUCUGCUUGUCAGCCAGCCAGCUGGCUGGAGACCUGAAGCAGAGAGGCUUAUGGCAGGCGCCCACGGGAAGACAAGCUGCUUUCUCUUUCCCUCUGGGCCUCAGCUUCCCUUUCUAUUCAUUCUCGUUUGCCUGCGUGAGAAUGUGUAUCAAUGCGUGUGCGGGACUCUCCACACGAGGCUCUUCCCCUCCCGUGGGCUUCGUGCCUCCGUCCUUCCCAGAGGUGGAAGCCCUCGGCAGCAGCAGGCCCCGUCUCUGGGGUCCAUUGGCCAACGGUUCUCCCGGCCGUGCUACCUCAGAGACGCAGCCUUAUUAUCAAUUCAGCCUAUCAGGCCUCCAGCCAGUUUGGCUCCUACUUGCUCUCCAUCUGGAAAGGCUGGGCCUCUUCCCUUAUCCUGGAGCCUUCUAGAAGCUCAGCAGUCUGGCCGGAAGACGAACCCUCCCAGAGAGCUGGGGGAGGGCAAAGAAGAGAGCGAGAGCCAGCAGGAACCUGAAUCACAGUGGAAAUCGGUGGGAAAAGCUUAUCUGCUCAGAAGUUUAAAACACUCCGAACAAGAAUGCAAAGGAAGGAAGAAAAAAACCCAAAAGGACAUUACCCAGAUGCCGUACUGGAAAAUCGCGCCUCUCAGCUAA